AUUGAACGCUGGCGGCAGGCCUAACACAUGCAAGUCGGACGGUAGCACAGAGAGCUUGCUCUCGGGUGACGAGUGGCGGACGGGUGAGUAAUGUCUGGGGAUCUGCCCGAUAGAGGGGGAUAACCACUGGAAACGGUGGCUAAUACCGCAUAACGUCGCAAGACCAAAGAGGGGGACCUUCGGGCCUCUCACUAUCGGAUGAACCCAGAUGGGAUUAGCUAGUAGGCGGGGUAACGGCCCACCUAGGCGACGAUCCCUAGCUGGUCUGAGAGGAUGACCAGCCACACUGGAACUGAGACACGGUCCAGACUCCUACGGGAGGCAGCAGUGGGGAAUAUUGCACAAUGGGCGCAAGCCUGAUGCAGCCAUGCCGCGUGUAUGAAGAAGGCCUUCGGGUUGUAAAGUACUUUCAGCGGGGAGGAAGGCGAUGUGGUUAAUAACCGCAUUGAUUGACGUUACCCGCAGAAGAAGCACCGGCUAACUCCGUGCCAGCAGCCGCCGUAA
rnacentral:rRNA from 1 species